rnacentral:rRNA from 1 species
GAUGAACGCUGGCGGCGUGCCUAAUACAUGCAAGUCGAGCGAACGGACGAGAAGCUUGCUUCUCUGAUGUUAGCGGCGGACGGGUGAGUAACACGUGGAUAACCUACCUAUAAGACUGGGAUAACUUCGGGAAACCGUAGCUAAUACCGUAUAAUAUUUUGAACCGCAUUGUUCAAAAGUGAAAGACGGUCUUGCUGUCACUUAUAGAUGGAUCCGCGCUGCAUUAGCUAGUUGGUAAGGUAACGGCUUACCAAGGCAACGAUGCAUAGCCGACCUGAGAGGGUGAUAGGCCACACUGGAACUGAGACACGGUCCAGACUCCUACGGGAGGCAGCAGUAGGGAAUCUUCCGCAAUGGGCGAAAGCCUGACGGAGCAACGCCGCGUGAGUGAUGAAGGUCUUCGGAUCGUAAAACUCUGUUAUUAGGGAAGAACAUAUGUGUAAGUAACUGUGCACAUCUUGACGGUACCUAAUCAGAAAGCCACGGCUAACUACGUG